AACGAACGCUGGCGGCAUGCUUUACACAUGCAAGUCGAACGGUAACAGGGAGCUUGCUCCGCUGACGAGUGGCGAACGGGUGAGUAAUGCGUCGGAACGUGCCGAGUAGUGGGGGAUAACGCAUCGAAAGGUGUGCUAAUACCGCAUACGAACUGAGGUUGAAAGUGGGGGACCUUCGGGCCUCACGCUAUUCGAGCGGCCGACGUCUGAUUAGCUAGUUGGUGAGGUAAAGGCUCACCAAGGCGACGAUCAGUAGCGGGUCUGAGAGGAUGAUCCGCCACACUGGGACUGAGACACGGCCCAGACUCCUACGGGAGGCAGCAGUGGGGAAUUUUGGACAAUGGGCGCAAGCCUGAUCCAGCCAUGCCGCGUGUCUGAAGAAGGCCUUCGGGUUGUAAAGGACUUUUGUCCGGGAGCAAAUGCUGGUGGCUAACAUCCACCGGAGCUGAGAGUACCGGAAGAAUAAGCACCGGCUAACUACGUGCCAGCAGCCGCGGUAACAC
rnacentral:rRNA from 1 species